rnacentral:lncRNA from 10 species
UCCUGCUGGGUCGGGUUCUCCAGAAGCAGAGCCUAAGACCAAGCAUCUUAGAAUGCACAUUGAGGCUGCAUUCAGGAGAAAGCAUUGUGGCGCCAAGAGAGGGUAACAGGAGAGGCCGAGGAAGCGCCACCUCUCGAAUCCACCCAGGCCAGGCUUUUCCUGUGGAAUUACCCUCAUUUUCCAAUGGAAUCUGGCCACACCCCCACCUGAUCCCAGAAGGGUGGGGCCGGGCCCUCAUGAGGACCCCCCAGAGCCUGGCGACAGCGGUGGCCUCUCUCUCUGCACAAGGGAACUGGGGCCUUUCCACCAAGACCCUGCUGUCCCCAGCCACGCUCUGCCAGCUCCCGGCAGCCCUCCUGCACCACUGCUGCCCCAGAAGUGCUGUCCGGUGUGGGGGUCCCCUGACCCAGUCACUCCGCACCACUGCCCCAUGCUGACACCAUGCACACUCCCUCUCCCAUUUGCGUGUGUCCUCACAGGCCUCACACAGCCACCGCCCAACCCUGGCACACAACAUCACGCGACACACAGGGAGGCCGAGAGCAGGCAGCGCAGGCCGGGCCGGCAGUGAGGACUCCAUUCAGGUGUCUCCACACCCCGGUGGUGGUCACGGGCCAUGCGCCCUGGAGCACCACGUCUUUGGAAGGAUGGCACUCAGCUGCCAGCUCCCCGGCGCCAGCUGUAGCUCUGAGGCGGGCAGCUGGCCAGGGCCCGGCAGCUAGCAAUGCUCACAAGCCCAUAUGGCCCCCGCCCAACACCCCUCACCCGUGAGUCCUGAGGCAUCUCCCUGCCUGCCCGCUGAGCCCCGGGCAGUCGGUGGCUAUGGGAAGGGGCGCUCGCCUCUGGACUCCACUGGCCCUUCCGCCCACAGCCCGAGCCCAGGGCUGCUCUCCGAAGGCCCUGCCGUCAGAGGGACAGGAUGGGUCUCUUUCCCUUCCUCUUCUCUAAAGAAGAGACCUUUCUCCUGCCUUUCAUCUUC